rnacentral:rRNA from 1 species
CAGUCGCCGCGGUAAAACGUAGGUGGCAAGCGUUGUCCGGAAUUAUUGGGCGUAAAGGGCUCGCAGGCGGUUUCUUAAGUCUGAUGUGAAAGCCCCCGGCUCAACCGGGGAGGGUCAUUGGAAACUGGGAAACUUGAGUGCAGAAGAGGAGAGUGGAAUUCCACGUGUAGCGGUGAAAUGCGUAGAGAUGUGGAGGAACACCAGUGGCGAAGGCGACUCUCUGGUCUGUAACUGACGCUGAGGAGCGAAAGCGUGGGGAGCGAACAGGAUUAGAGACCCCAGUAGUCCCUGUCUCUUAUAC